rnacentral:rRNA from 1 species
CGGGGUGAGUAACGCGUGGGUAACCUGCCUCAUACAGGGGGAUAACAGUUAGAAAUGGCUGCUAAUACCGCAUAAGACCACAGUACUGCAUGGUACAGUGGUAAAAACUCCGGUGGUAUGAGAUGGACCCGCGUCUGAUUAGGUAGUUGGUGAGGUAACGGCCCACCAAGCCGACGAUCAGUAGCCGACCUGAGAGGGUGACCGGCCACAUUGGGACUGAGACACAGCCCAG